rnacentral:lncRNA from 1 species
GAAGAAAGUAGCUGAGAACCAGCAGCUGGAGAAAGCAAGAAAAUGAGUGAAGUCACAAAUGUCACCAAGGAAAGGAAGAACAGAAAAAUAACUUGAAUAUUCAAGAUGGGCAGACUAGUUCAACGACACAUCAGGCCUUGUGAAAAGGUGACUCUGAGACAUGGAGCCACAUGCCUGUAGCCUCACCACACAGGCAGGUGGUGGUGAAUUCUACACUAACCUUGGCUACACAGUGACACACUGCCCCAAAACAGAAACAAAAAGCAAAAAGUUUCUCAGUGAACCUCAGAAAAGGUUUCUAAGGUAUCAAAAGAAUCAAAAUAUGCCCUAGCUCACCCCAAAUGCCAAGAGCCUUGCUAUGUUUAGUAAGUACCUCCAUAAAAUGCUGUUUUCCCGAAAGAGAACU